rnacentral:rRNA from 1 species
CACGUAGGUGGCAAGCGUUGUCCGGAUUUACUGGGCGUAAAGAGCGCGCAGGCGGCCGGCCAAGUCGGAUGUGAAAGCCCCCGGCCCAACUGGGGAGGGUCAUUCGAUACUGGUCGACUCGAAGGCAGGAGAGGGAAGCGGAAUUCCCGGUGUAGUGGUGAAAUGCGUAGAUAUCGGGAGGAACACCAGUGGCGAAGGCGGCUUCCUGGCCUGUUCUUGACGCUGAGGCGCGAAAGCUAGGGGAGCGAACGGG